rnacentral:rRNA from 1 species
UACGUAGGGAGCAAGCGUUGUUCGGAUUUACUGGGCGUAAAGGGCGCGUAGGCGGCAAUUCAAGUCAUCUGUGAAAUCUCCGGGCUUAACUCGGAACGGUCAGAUGAUACUGCUUUGCUAGAGUGCGGAAGGGGCAAUCGGAAUUCUCGGUGUAGCGGUGAAAUGCGCAGAUAUUAGGAAGAACACCGGUGGCGAAGGCGGGUCUCUGGGCAGUAACUGACGCUGGAGGAGCGAAAGCGUGGGGAGCGAACAGG